CCCAACUGUCUGUCCCCACGCCCACGGCAUACCCUUCGUUUCCACCUCCCGACCGUAAUGUCAAAACAAAAAACGCAGCAGUCGCACCCGCUGCCGCCCGUGAUGGCGAGGGGGCGGCGGCCUGCCCAGGCCGACAGAGGCGCCGCGGCCGUACGAGCUGGUGUUCGCGGAGGCGGAGCUCCGCUCCAUGGACUGCAACCUCUCGACGCUCUGCGACAACGUCCAGGCAGAGGGAUUCGGCUCUAGCGGCUUCUCCAAUGCCGUUGUCAAGGCCAUGGGCGUCACCUACCGUCUUCACCGUCUCCUCAUCUCCCGCAACACCUAUUUUAGGCAAGCCAAUGUUACAGAUCCAGCCAGUAUAACUUGACUUCAGUGGACAUGUACUUCUCUCCGUGUUGUUUGCAGGCAAGGCAUUGUUACAGAUCUAGCCAAAUUAAAUUAACAUGUUUGUUCUCCUCAUAUUCCCUAUCUAAUGGCUGGUUGUACGUGGGAUGUGGCUUGGGCAAAAUAUUAUUUUCGUAAUUGUUCAACCAUUUGAAUGUUUAUGGCACAUGUAAUUUUUUGUACACAAGUAUCAACUGUAUAUAGUGUUGAUGAAAGUCUGAGGUAUGUUCUCCACAUUAAAAAAUAUAGAUAAGUUCAAUUGAGCUAUCUGGAUUGAUGUCUUUCUUAUGUUUACAAUAUGUAUAUCAUUGUAUCAUGACCCGUGUAGCUGUAUGCCCAUGAAAUAUUUGGUAAUAACAGUAUUGAGCA